CCUACGGGAGGCAGCAGUGAGGAAUAUUGGUCAAUGGACGAGAGUCUGAACCAGCCAAGCCGCGUGAAGGAUGACUGCCCUAUGGGUUGUAAACUUCUUUUAUAUGGGAAUAAAACAGGGUAUGCAUACCCUCCUGUAUGUACCAUAUGAAUAAGGAUCGGCUAACUCCGUGCCAGCAGCCGCGGUAAUACGGAGGUUCCGAGCGUUAUCCGGAUUUAUUGGGUUUAAAGGGAGCGUAGGUGGACUGUUAAGUCAUUUGUGAAAGUUUGCGGCUCAACCGUAAAAUUGCAAUUGAAACUGGCAGGCUUGAGUACAGUAGAGGUGAGCGGAAUUCGUGGUGUAGCGGUGAAAUGCUUAGAUAUAACGAAGAACACCGAUUGCGAAGGCAGCUCACUGGACUGCAACUGACGCUGAUGCUCGAAAGUGUGGGUAUCAAACAGGAUUAGAUACCCGAGUAGUC
rnacentral:rRNA from 1 species